CGGGUGAGUAACACGUGGAUAACCUACCUAUAAGACUGGGAUAACUUCGGGAAACCGGAGCUAAUACCGGAUAAUAUUUUGAACCGCAUGGUUCAAAAGUGAAAGACGGUCUUGCUGUCACUUAUAGAUGGAUCCGCGCUGCAUUAGCUAGUUGGUAAGGUAACGGCUUACCAAGGCAACGAUGCAUAGCCAACCUGAGAGGGUGAUCGGCCACACUGGAACUGAGACACGGUCCAG
rnacentral:rRNA from 1 species